rnacentral:rRNA from 1 species
GAUGAACGCUGGCGGCGUGCCUAAUACAUGCAAGUCGAGCGAACAGACGAGGAUCUUGCUCCUCUGACGUUAGCGGCGGACGGGUGAGUAACACGUGGAUAACCUACCUAUAAGACUGGGAUAACUUCGGGAAACCGGAGCUAAUACCGGAUAAUAUAUUGAACCGCAUGGUUCAAUAGUGAAAGCCGGUUUUGCUGUCACUUAUAGAUGGAUCCGCGCCGCAUUAGCUAGUUGGUAAGGUAACGGCUUACCAAGGCGACGAUGCGUAGCCGACCUGAGAGGGUGAUCGGCAACACUGGAACUGAGACACGGUCCAGACUCCUACGGGAGGCAGCAGUAGGGAAUCUUCCGCAAUGGGCGAAAGCCUGACGGAGCAACGCCGCGUGAGUGAUGAAGGUCUUCGGAUCGUAAAACUCUGUUAUUAGGGAAGAACAAAUGUGUAAGUAACUAUGCACGUCUUGACGGUACCUAAUCAGAAAGCCACGGCUAACUACGUG